AUUGAACGCUGGCGGAAUGCUUUACACAUGCAAGUCGAACGGUAGAGGGGGCAACCCCUUGAGAGUGGCGAACGGGUGAGUAAUGUAUCGGAACGUGCCCAGUCGUGGGGGAUAACGUAGUGAAAAUUACGCUAAUACCGCAUACGAUCUAUGGAUGAAAGCGGGGGAUCGCAAGACCUCGCGCGAUUGGAGCGGCCGAUAUCAGAUUAGGUAGUUGGUGGGGUAAAGGCUCACCAAGCCAACGAUCUGUAGCUGGUCUGAGAGGACGACCGGCCACACUGGAACUGAGACACGGUCCAGACUCCUACGGGAGGCAGCAGUGGGGAAUUUUGGACAAUGGACGCAAGUCUGAUCCAGCCAUUCCGCGUGCAGGACGAAGGCCUUCGGGUUGUAAACUGCUUUUGUACGGAACGAAAAAGCUCUUAUUAAUACUAGGAGUCCAUGACGGUACCGUAAGAAUAAGCACCGGCUAACUACGUGCCAGCAGCCGCAGUAA
rnacentral:rRNA from 1 species